UAAGUUCAAGUGUCUUGUUUGGUCCUCCAAGGUGUCACCAUGACGGCCCUGGGUCAAGGUCAAGGCUCUUGGUGGGUCUUCCAAGGGGCCACCAUGAUGGGCGUGGGUCAAGGUCAAGGGUCUUCGUAGGUCCUCCAUGAUGAUGCCAUGAUGAACCUGGGUGAAGGCUCAAGGGUCUUGGUUGGUCCUCCAGGGGGUCACCACGGCCUUGGGGGCACCAUGAUGGCCCUGGGUCAAGGUCAAGGGUCUUGGUAGGUCUUCCAGUGGGUCACCAUGUUGGACCUGGGUCAAGGUCAAGGGUCUUGGCUAGUCCUCCAAGGGGUCACCACAGCCUUGGGGGCACCAUGAUGGCCCUGGGUCAAGGUCAAGGGUCUUAGUAGGUCCUCCAAGAUGAUGCCAUGAUGAACCUGGGUGAAGGCCAAGGGUCUUGGUUGGUCCUCCAGGGGGUCACCAUGGCCUUGGGGGCACCAUGAUGGCCCUGGGUCAAGGUCAAGGGUCUUGGUAGGUCUUCCAGUGGGUCACCAUGUUGGACCUGGGUCAAGGUCAAGGCUCUUGGUAGGUCUUCCAAGACGAAGACACGCCCUUGGGUGUGCCAUGAUGGAUGUUAGUCAAGGUCAAGGAUCUAGGUAGGUCUUCCAAGGGGUCACCAUGAUGGCCCUGGGUCAAGGUCAAGGGUCUUGGUAGGUCUUCCAAGGGGUGACCAUGUUGGACCUGGGUCAAGGUCAAGGGUCUUGGUAGGUCUUCCAAGGGGUCAUCAUGAUGGACCCGGGUGAAGUUCAAGGGUCUUGGUUGGUACUCCAAGGGGUCACCAAGGCCUUGGGGGCACCAUGAUGGCCCCGGGUCAAAGUCAAACCUCUUGCUAGGUCCUCCAAGAUGUCACCAUGCUGGCCCUGACUCAAACCGAAGGAUCCUGGCUUGGUCCUCCUGGCUGAACCCCCCCCCCCCGCCCCCCGGCCUCGCACCCCCUCCUCCCCCCGCCACC